AGCAACACAGCUCAAAUUCAUUAAAUUCGGUCUCAGGACUCCAGGGAGAAGGAGAUGGAGGAGAAUAUGGAUGAGGUGAGCGCUAUGAUAGGUAACCUAAGGAAUAUGGCGAAUGAUAUUGGAAACACAACUAAGGUUCAAAAUGAAACCUUGGCAAGAAUUCAUCUGAAGGCUGAAUCUGAUAUUCUUCGUGUGAAACUGGCGAACGAGAAAGCAGCCUCAUUGAUGUCUUAAUUCUUUUUAAACCGUGGAAUAUGAAGACGAUAUUAUAAAUAUACUUAAGCCGUGGAAUAU